rnacentral:misc_RNA from 1 species
UAUAUGCCCUUUAAUUUUCUUGUAAAUUGCUGAUAUGGGACUUGUUCCCACAAGCCACAUUCCAACACUCCCCUCAAGUGCAACUAGGUUCAGCUCAGAUUCACGGGGGCUAAUAGGCCCAGUUGUCACUUGUCAUUACAUGGGAUGGUCUAUCUAACUUAGGUUUGGCUCCUUUUGGCUCUACCCUCAAGGUCUAGCUCACUAAGCUAGCCCAUGGAUCUAACUGAAUGUGGCUCAAUUAGCUCAACUCAUGGGCUUGGCAUAUUGGGGCUCAGCUCACUACGCUUUCCAGUCCCAGAUCUACAGCCAUUGGGCCUCACUGCUUUAAUAUCAUGUUGAGAAAUACAGGCCCAGACGAGUGGAUCAUUAAAUAGGUAGGCCUCCAUACUAAACUGGGCUUGCUUAUAAAUAUGCUUCUUUCUUUUUCAUCUUUCAGCUAAUUCGAACUCCCCAUCACCAUAAUCGCCUAAGCUCCUUUGGUUUGAUUUGCCAACACUUAUAUGCCCUCUAAUUUUCUUAUACACUAACGAUGUAGGACUUGUUCUCACAAGCCAUAUUCCAACAGUCAAGCUGUGUUCGGCAAAUAGAACACUUCUAUGUUUAAUUUUACCGAACACUUCUAUGUUAAAUCACCAUAUGAAUAGCUAAUAUCUAACAGCUAAAAGUUGAAGGCUACUAGAACAGCCAACAAUUACUAAAACAGCUAGUAUUGUCGAACAAACCCUUAGCAACUAUGACUGGGCCCAAAAAUGCAACUCCAUUUAAUCCAUGGCUUCCAUUCCCAUAAAAUAUAUGUACUUAAAUUUCGGCAUCAAACAAAUUUGGUGAAUUAAUAAAAAACUUGACUCCAGUAAUACAUUUUCAUGCUAGUAUAAAACACAGCAGGUUUUCCUUUAAGCAUACCAAAACGAAAGGCAGUGAGAUUGAGAAUUUGAGAUCCAUAAAUCAACAAAAAGAUCCAGGUUGUUCCAUAUCAUGUUCUCAACAUGAAUUUAAACCAUUAUGAAUCAAUAAACAAUUAUUAGUAUGCACCAUACAAAAAAGACACAAAGCCACAUGUUCAGCAUGUUAGUUUGGAGUCGUCAAGUAACGACAUCGUAAAUCCAACCUUAUCCACACAGAAAUUAUUUUCCUUUUAAUAAAUAAGAUUUAAAAAAUCCUAUCUGAACAUUAUCCCACCCCUUGACCAGCUAAGGAGAUUGCAACCACCCAUUGACCACCACCUUUUAUAUACUAUAAGAAGGUAGGACUAGUUAUCUGCUUCGCUAACCAAACUACAUUCGUUACAUCAACUACUUGCUCAAAUUCUACAUAGCAGAAGACCACAUUUUACUUCUUUAUAUUAACCUGUUCACCAGGAAAAGUCUAUUAGGGCCCAUUUGGAUUGGUUUGCACUUUGCAGUUGAAAUUAAGAUGAAUUUGGAUUCAUUUUCUAAGAGAAAAAUUGCAAACCAUCAACAUACUGUCAAAGUCAUAUACUCUUCAUUUCAAUACCCCACCUACCCAAAUGGACCCUCAGCAAAGUUGCAUAAUUAUAUCACUAGAGAAGCAACUGGUUGAGUCCUUCCAGUUUCCAAACUGCUUAAGUCUCCCUCCUAUUCUCAUCCAGAACCAGAAUAUGAUAGCGGGUUCCUCUCACCCAAUAAACAUAAUCUUCUCUCAACAACUUGAGCCAGGCUGCACCAACCCUACAUCACAGAACAGCACAUGCUGCUUCCUUAUAUUUGAGCUAACCUCCGUAAGCUUAUUCUAACAGCCAACUGUCCAUGAUAUCAUCCAUACAGAUACUAGUCAGACUUGGAAGUUUCCAGAGAAGGAGCAGCAGAGUAUUUCUUUUCUUGCUUAAAAGAAAAUUAUAAAAUACACACACACACACACACAUUUUUUUUGCUUGCACUGUUUGUGUUAUUGCUUUAGCAUGUGCUGUAUAUAUAUUGGUGGUUGGAUAUUACAUUGCAGCAGAAUUGACUGUGUUACAGUUUUUCAUUAGCAUGCUUGAGAUGUUUACUUAAACAAAUUUCUGUUUAUUCAUAUAAUCCCUACUUGAAUUCCACAUCUAUUUGAUUUUCAGGCUCAAUGCUUAAAUGAAUGGUCUUUCAAUUGCUGAUUAGAAAUUAUGAAUAGGAUAAAUGUAGCCAAAAUUACCAUUUCCAUUAUUUUAGGUUGAUGCUGACAUGUGUUUUGAAUCCCAGUUUAUUGAUGGAGAACCUGUCUAUAU